rnacentral:rRNA from 1 species
UACGGAGGAUCCAAGCGUUAUCCGGAUUUAUUGGGUUUAAAGGGUGCGUAGGCGGCCCUAUAAGUCAGUGGUGAAAUAUCGCAGCUUAACUGUGAGGGUGCCAUUGAUACUGUAGGGCUUGAGUGAAUUUGAGGUAGGCGGAAUUGACGGUGUAGCGGUGAAAUGCUUAGAUAUCGUCAAGAACACCGAUAGUGAAGACAGCUUACCAAGCUUCAACUGACGCUGAGGCACGAAAGUGUGGGGAUCAAACAGG